rnacentral:rRNA from 1 species
CGUAAGUCAACCUGCCUUACCGUCCGGGAUAACUAGCCGAAAGGUUAGCUAAUACCUGAUACGAUCGUUGAGCGGCAUCGCACGACGAUGAAAGCAGCAAUGCGCGGUUAGAGGGGGCUGCGGCCCAUUAGCUAGUUGGUGAGGUAAUGGCCCACCAAGGCAACGAUGGGUAGCUGGUCUGAGAGGACGACCAGCCACACUGGGACUGAGACACGGCCCAG